rnacentral:rRNA from 1 species
GACGAACGCUGGCGGCGUGCUUAACACAUGCAAGUCGAACGGAAAGGCCCUUCGGGGUACUCGAGUGGCGAACGGGUGAGUAACACGUGGGUGAUCUGCCCUGCACUUUGGGAUAAGCCUGGGAAACUGGGUCUAAUACCGAAUAGGACCACGCGCUUCAUGGUGUGUGGUGGAAAGCUUUUGCGGUGUGGGAUGGGCCCGCGGCCUAUCAGCUUGUUGGUGGGGUAAUGGCCUACCAAGGCGACGACGGGUAGCCGGCCUGAGAGGGUGACCGGCCACACUGGGACUGAGAUACGGCCCAGACUCCUACGGGAGGCAGCAGUGGGGAAUAUUGCACAAUGGGCGCAAGCCUGAUGCAGCGACGCCGCGUGAGGGAUGACGGCCUUCGGGUUGUAAACCUCUUUCAAUAGGGACGAAGCGCAAGUGACGGUACCUAUAGAAGAAGCACCGGCCAACUACGUGCCAGCAGCCGCGGUAAUACGUAGGGUGCGAGCGUUGUCCGGAAUUACUGGGCGUAAAGAGCUCGUAGGUGGUUUGUCGCGUUGUUCGUGAAAACUCACAGCUUAACUGUGGGCGUGCGGGCGAUACGGGCAGACUAGAGUACUGCAGGGGAGACUGGAAUUCCUGGUGUAGCGGUGGAAUGCGCAGAUAUCAGGAGGAACACCGGUGGCGAAGGCGGGUCUCUGGGCAGUAACUGACGCUGAGGAGCGAAAGCGUGGGGAGCGAACAGGAUUAGAUACCCUGGUAGUCCACGCCGUAAACGGUGGGUACUAGGUGUGGGUUCCUUCCUUGGGAUCCGUGCCGUAGCUAACGCAUUAAGUACCCCGCCUGGGGAGUACGGCCGCAAGGCUAAAACUCAAAGGAAUUGACGGGGGCCCGCACAAGCGGCGGAGCAUGUGGAUUAAUUCGAUGCAACGCGAAGAACCUUACCUGGGUUUGACAUGCACAGGACGCCGGCAGAGAUGUCGGUUCCCUUGUGGCCUGUGUGCAGGUGGUGCAUGGCUGUCGUCAGCUCGUGUCGUGAGAUGUUGGGUUAAGUCCCGCAACGAGCGCAACCCUUGUCCUAUGUUGCCAGCGGGUUAUGCCGGGGACUCGUAGGAGACUGCCGGGGUCAACUCGGAGGAAGGUGGGGAUGACGUCAAGUCAUCAUGCCCCUUAUGUCCAGGGCUUCACACAUGCUACAAUGGCCGGUACAAAGGGCUGCGAUGCCGUGAGGUGGAGCGAAUCCUUUCAAAGCCGGUCUCAGUUCGGAUCGGGGUCUGCAACUCGACCCCGUGAAGUCGGAGUCGCUAGUAAUCGCAGAUCAGCAACGCUGCGGUGAAUACGUUCCCGGG